UACGUAGGGUGCGAGCGUUGUCCGGAAUUAUUGGGCGUAAAGGGCUCGUAGGCGGUUUGUCGCGUCGGGAGUGAAAACCCAGGGCUUAACCCUGGGCUGGCUUUCGAUACGGGCAGACUAGAGGUAUGCAGGGGAGAACGGAAUUCCUGGUGUAGCGGUGAAAUGCGCAGAUAUCAGGAGGAACACCGGUGGCGAAGGCGGCAUCCUGGACCGGUAUUGACGCUGAGGCGCGAAAGCUAGGGGAGCAAACGGG
rnacentral:rRNA from 1 species